rnacentral:RNase_P_RNA from 1 species
AUAGGUACAAAGAUAGUUACUUGAAGUCAAAUUCAAGAGGAAAGUCCGAGCUGCUGUAAGACAGUGUUCCAUUUAACGAAUGGCCGUAGUAAUACGAGGGAAAGUGCAACAGAGAUUAGACUUCUUGUGUGUAAACACAAGUAAAGGUGAAAAGGUGUGUGUAAGAGACCACCAGUUUCUAUAGUAAUAUAGAGAGCUUGUAAACCCAACAUGGCAGCAAGAAACAGAUGGUUAGCGUCUUACAUUGCUAUUGUUUCGCUAGAGGCACAAAGUAAUGUGUGCAGUAGAUUAAUAACUAUUACUACAAAACUCGGCUUAUUUGUACCUUAUUAU